UACGUAGGUGACCAGCGUUGUCCGGAUUUACUGGGCGUAAAGAGCGCGCAGGCGGUCGUUCAAGUCGAGUGUGAAAGCCCCCGGCUCAACUGGGGAGGGUCACUCGAUACUGAUCGACUCGAAGGCAGGAGAGGGAAGCGGAAUUCCCGGUGUAGUGGUGAAAUGCGUAGAUAUCGGGAGGAACACCAGUGGCGAAGGCGGCUUUCUGGCCUGCUCUUGACGCUGAGGCGCGAAAGCUAGGGUAGCAAACGGG
rnacentral:rRNA from 1 species